rnacentral:rRNA from 1 species
AACGAACGCUGGCGGCAUGCCUAACACAUGCAAGUCGAACGAGACCUUCGGGUCUAGUGGCGCACGGGUGCGUAACGCGUGGGAACCUGCCCUUAGGUUCGGAAUAACUCCCCGAAAGGGGUGCUAAUACCGGAUAAUGUCUUCGGACCAAAGAUUUAUCGCCUUUGGAUGGGCCCGCGUUGGAUUAGCUAGUUGGUAGGGUAAAAGCCUACCAAGGCGACGAUCCAUAGCUGGUCUGAGAGGAUGAUCAGCCACACUGGGACUGAGACACGGCCCAGACUCCUACGGGAGGCAGGAGUGGGGAAUAUUGGACAAUGGGCGGAGGGCUGAACGCGCAAUGCCGGGUGAGUGAUGAAGGCGUUAGAGUAGUAAAGCUCUUUUACCCGGGAUGAUAAUGACAGUACCGGGAGAAUAAGCACCGGCUAACUCCGUG